rnacentral:rRNA from 1 species
AAUCGAACUCGGAGAUAGCUGGUUCUCCUCGAAAUAGCUUUAGGGCUAGCCUCGAGCUGGAGUCUAACGGAGGUAAAGCACUGAACUGACGCGGGGCCCAAAAAGGUUACCAACUCAUAUCAAACUAAGAAUGCCGUCAAGAUACCCUCGGGAGUCAGUCUGCGUGAGAUAAGUCGCGUGGACAAAAGGGAAAGAGCCCAGACCGACAGCUAAGGUCCCAAAGUACGUGUUAAGUGGAAAAGGAUGUGGGAUUUCAUAGACAACUAGGAUGUUGGCUUAGAAGCAGCCAUACAUUUAAAGAGUGCGUAAUAGCUCACUAGUCGAGAAAACCUGCGCCGAAAAUGUAACGGGGCUAAAACACGACACCGAAGCUACGGAUUUCCUACAAGGUAGGAAGUGGUAGAGGAGCAUCCUGCAAGGACGAAGCCAAAGUGAGAGCGAUGGUGGACGAAACAGGAGAGAGAAUGCCGGAAUGAGUAGCGAGAUACAUGUGAGAAACAUGUAGGCCGAAUAUCUAAGGAUUCCUGGGUAAAGCUAAUCUUCCCAGGGUUAGUCGGGGCCUAAGGCGAGGACGAAAGUCGUAGUCGAUGGAUAACAGGUUGAUAUUCCUGUACUACACAUAAUCAGAACUGUGGGGACGCAGGAGGAUAGGGAAACCGGGGAAUGGAAAGACCCGGUCAAGCGUAAAGCUGUGGGAGAUAGGCAAAUCCGUCUCCUGUAAGUGAAACGUGAUGAGGACUGAAAAAAAGUAAGGAAGUUUCCGAAUCCACACUGCCGAGAAAAGCCGCUAUUGCGUUAUGUGUACCCGUACCGUAAACCGACACAGGUAGAUGAGGAGAAAAUCCACAGGCCGACGGGAGAAGUGUUGUUAAGGAACUCGGCAAAAUGACCCCGUAACUUCGGGAUAAGGGGAGCCUCGCAAGAGGCCGCAGAAAAGAGGCACAAGCAACUGUUUAGCAAAAACAUAGGUCUAUGCGAAACCGUAAGGUGAAGUAUAUGGGCUGACGCCUGCCCGGUGCUGGAAGGUUAAAAGGAGAGGUCAGCGCAAGCGAAGCUUUGAAUUCAAGCCCCAGUAAACGGCGGCCGUAACUAUAACGGUCCUAAGGUAGCGAAAUUCCUUGUCAGGUAAGUUCUGACCCGCACGAAAGGCGUAAUGAUUUGUGCACUGUCUCGACAACACGCCCGGUGAAAUUGAAGAACCAGUGAAGAUACUGGUUACCCGCAACAGGACGGAAAGACCCCAUGGAGCUUUACUGCAGCCUGAUACUGGGAUUCGAUGAUAUAUGUACAGGAUAGGUGGGAGGCUAAGAAGCGAGAACGCUAGUUUUCGUGGAGCCGCCGGUGGGAUACCACUCUUAUGUCAUUGAAUUUCUAACCUGCAUCCGUAAUCCGGGUGAGGGACAAUGUCAGGCGGGCAGUUUGACUGGGGCGGUCGCCUCCUAAAAGGUAACGGAGGCGCUCGAAGGUCACCUCAGAAUGAUUGGAAACCAUUCAAAGAGUGUAAAGGCAAAAGGUGGCUUGACUGCGAGAGCGACGGCUCGAGCAGGUACGAAAGUAGGACUUAGUGAUCCGGUGGUAAUAAGUGGGAAUGCCAUCGCUCAACGGAUAAAAGCUACCCUGGGGAUAACAGGCUUAUCUCCCCCAAGAGUUCACAUCGACGGGGAGGUUUGGCACCUCGAUGUCGGCUCAUCGCAUCCUGGGGCUGAAGUAGGUCCCAAGGGUUGGGCUGUUCGCCCAUUAAAGCGGUACGCGAGCUGGGUUCAGAACGUCGUGAGACAGUUCGGUCCCUAUCCGUUGUGGGCGCAGGAAAUUUGAGAGGAGCUGUCCUUAGUACGAGAGGACCGGGAUGGACGUACCUCUGGUGUACCGGUUGCAGACCAACUGCACAGCCGGGUAGCUAUGUAUGGAACGGAUAAACGCUGAAGGCAUCUAAGCGUGAAGCCGCCCUCAAGAUAAGAUUUCCCAUUCU